AGGGGUUCUCUAUACACAGCAACACACAUAUGUCGUUUCUACGAGGUUAUGUGAACUUUGUUGAUGUGAAUUGUUCGAUAAUUAUUUUGUGCUGAACAUUGGACAUUAUUAAUUAUCAAUGAUGAUAUUUUGAAAUUUUAAUUAUUGAAUUUUAUAGUUCAUUAAUAAUUAAUCAUGGAUAUAAUUAUUGAAAUGGAUCCAAAUAUAGAAAUUCAAAAUCUACAACAUACCUGUAGAUUUUGUUUGACUGAAAAUGAAAAUAAUUUAUGCAUUUUUACUGUUGAAAAUAAUAUUGAAGAUCAGCUUUUGGAGUAUAAAAAAAUAUUUGAAAUUCACAGUGGUCUUAAGCUAAGUCAAGAUGAUGGAUUACCAGUAGGAAUAUGUUCAGCUUGUUUGACAAAAUUUGAUGCAGCAAAUAAUUUAUGGAAACAGUGUCAAGAAUCUGAUAAAAAACUUAAAACAAUAUAUUCACAAAAUUCUUUAAAAAAUGAAAAUACUGAAAAUCAACCAUUUAAAAUAAUUCACGUUAUAUCAUUACAAGAUAAAGAACCAUUUAAAAAUGAAGCGAUAGUAAAUGAAGAAAUAGUAGAAAUUGAACAACCAUUACAAUAUGAACAGCCAUUAGAAAUUGAACAAUCAUUAGAAAUUGAACAAUCAUUAGAAAGUGAACAACCACUACAAAGUGAACAACAACAACAACAAAGUGAUCAACAAUUACAAAGUGAACAACCACUUCAAAAUGAUCAACAAUUACAAAAUGAUCAAUCAUUCAAAAGUGAACAGCUAUUACAAAGUGAUCAACCAUUAAAAAGUGAAGAGUCACCUAAAAUUGAAGAGAUAUCAGAUAAUGAACCAUUAUUUCCAUAUGAACCAUCAUCAAUAAAUGAUAUAAACAUGAUUAAAGAAAAAUUUGCAUCAAAUGAUGGUAGAAAAACUAAUGCAUGUAAAAUUUGUGGUAAAAUUUAUUUUACUGAAAAAUAUCUUACGAAUCAUAUGAAAACACAUGAAAAUAUAACACCAAUGGUAAUAGAUAAUAGCCAAAUUGAAGAUGAAAAUAAUUUAAUAAUUGAAUAUCUUGAUUUAGAAUGUGAAGAAGUUGAAACAAAUGAAAAUAUAAUGCAUGCUGAAAUUCAACAACAACAAAAUAAUAAUACAGAUAAUAAUAAAAAAAUAAAAGAUGAUAAAAGAUUUCUUUGUCAUGUUUGUAGUAAAGUAUUUCGUCAUAAUAGUGGUUUAACGGUACAUAUGAGAACUCAUACUGGUGAUAAACCAUAUCCAUGUCAAUAUUGUAAUCGUAAUUUUCGAUUAAAAGCACAUUGUAUACAACAUGAACGUACUCAUACAGGUGAUAAACCAUAUGUAUGUCAUUUUUGUGGUGUUGCAUUUGCAAAAGCAUUUGCAUUUAAAAUGCAUUUAACAAUUCAUACUGGUGAGGCUAAUUAUCAUUGUACAAUAUGUGGUAAAUCAUUUAAAAGAUUAUCAUAUUUAAAAGAACAUAAUUUUACUCAUACUGGUGAAAAACCAUAUGCUUGUAAAAAUUGUGAUAUGGCUUAUAGUCAUUCAGGAAGUUUAUUUGUUCAUGAAAAAAGAUGCAAAGCAAAAAAAGCUACUGAAGUAAUUGAAUAAUUAUUUGAUAAUUUUAAAAGUUGUCAGACAACAAUUGAAUAUGAUUCUUUUUUUUUCUUUUAUUAUUUUAAUUUUUAUUAAGACGUAAUUAUGAAAAUGAAAUUGAAUGGAUUGUAUUUGUUUCAUAUAUUUUAGUUAUAUAGAAAAUUCAUUUAAAUAAAUUUUUAAUCAUAAAAGUAGUAUAUAUAAUUUAGCAUCAAUUUAAUAUCAACUAAAAUUAUUUAAUAAUGAUAGUAUUAAUUAAGUAAAUAAAUAUUUUUUUAAAUGAAAAUUAAAGUCAUUAUUUAUUAAUUAUUAUUAAUAACAACAAAUAAAUAGUAGCCAUGUUGAUUUAUUUUUAACCAAUGAGAAACUUUGUAGUUGAUAACGAUACUAGUGACAACAAUGUGAAUUACAAAAUAAGAAAAUUUUCUAUUCUAUUAUUGUGUUGUUACUUCAUGUCUAAAUGCGGCAAAUUAUUGUAUGUAAAGGAAAAAAAAAAAAAAUAAUAAUAUAAGUAAGUGAGUAAUACAUAAGCAUAUUGUGAAAAAGGAAAAAUAAAAAAAAAAAAAGUUGUAUCGAGCAUGGAUUGCUGUAGGUGUGAAGUGUGAUAUCAUACGACAGUGAGCAGACAGUAAGUUUCUGGGAGUCGUCAGUGAAUGUUUGUGUUAAUUGUGAACGACUCCAAAAAUUGAUACUCCAAAAAAACAUGGAUAAUAUAUAAAAAAGGAAAAAAAACUUGAAUUAAAAUAAAUAAGAUAAAUUUUAUAUAAUGUUUUAAA